rnacentral:rRNA from 1 species
GAUGAACGCUGGCGGCGUGCCUAAUACAUGCCAGUCGAGCGAACAGACGAGGAGCUUGCUCCUCUGACGUUAGCGGCGGACGGGUGAGUAACACGUGGAUAACCUACCUAUAAGACUGGGAUAACUUCGGGAAACCGGAGCUAAUACCGGAUAAUAUAUUGAACCGCAUGGUUCAAUAGUGAAAGACGGUUUUGCUGUCACUUAUAGAUGGAUCCGCGCCGCAUUAGCUAGUUGGUAAGGUAACGGCUUACCAAGGCAACGAUGCGUAGCCGACCUGAGAGGGUGAUCGACCACACUGGAACUGAGACACGGUCCAGACUCCUACGGGAGGCAGCAGUAGGGGAUCUUCCGCAAUGGGCGAAAGCCUGACGGAGCAACGCCGCGUGAGUGAUGAAGGUCUUCGGAUCGUAAAACUCUGUUAUUAGGGAAGAACAAAUGUGUAAGUAACUAUGCACGUCUUGACGGUACCUAAUCAGAAAGCCACGGCUAACUACGUG